rnacentral:miRNA from 1 species
UCCGGGACUGAGUUCUGUGCAC